rnacentral:hammerhead_ribozyme from 1 species
AUCCAACUGACGAGUCCAAAAUAGGAAGAAACGCGCGUUAUGGAU